GAUGAACGCUGGCGGCGUGCCUAAUACAUGCAAGUCGAGCGAACGGACGAGAAGCUUGCUUUUCUGAUGUUAGCGGCGGACGGGUGAGUAACACGUGGAUAACCUACCUAUAAGACUGGGAUAACUUCGGGAAACCGGAGCUAAUACCGGAUAAUAUUUUGAACCGCAUGGUUCAAAAGUGAAAGACGGUCUUGCUGUCACUUAUAGAUGGAUCCGCGCUGCAUUAGCUAGUUGGUAAGGUAACGGCUUACCAAGGCAACGAUGCAUAGCCGACCCGAGAGGGUAAUCGGCCACACUGGAACUGAGACACGGUCCAGACUCCUACGGGAGGCAGCAGUAGGGAAUCUUCCGCAAUGGGCGAAAGCCUGACGGAGCAACGCCGCGUGAGUGAUGAAGGUCUUCGGAUCGUAAAACUCUGUUAUUAGGGAAGAACAUAUGUGUAAGUAACUGUGCACAUCUUGACGGUACCUAAUCAGAAAGCCACGGCUAACUACGUG
rnacentral:rRNA from 1 species